rnacentral:lncRNA from 1 species
AUGUCAAAACAUUGGGCAUUUUGCCCAAGAAGAUACAAUAAUAUCAAAACACUGAGUGUCACAUAGUCCCCUUGUGCUAAUAAACUGAUGGUGCUGUGGACACACAUUCUGAAAAAGGUGUUCUCCAUUGAUGAGAAACAAGAGUGAUAGCCUGAUCUCAAGCUGUUUCUUGAACUGGAAGUUAAAUAGAGAACGUCAUUAGGAAAACAAAGAUGUAUAGUAGUAAGAAGUAAACGAAUAGCUGAGGAUCAAAGUGCCAAGUGAGAAGAUAGUUUCAAUGAAUUUUAAAGAAACAGCUAUACAGAGAAAAUUUCGAAAAACUUUAUUUGGACAAAAAAGUUAAAUACUGAAAAGCCUGUACAUGCUAAGGAAUGAAAGAUCUGAAUUUUAUUGAAAAACUUUGUUUCGUUCGACAUAAUUAACUUUGAAAUAUUUUAGGUAAAAACUAAUAAAACACUGCCAAAA